GCUGUAGCUGGUGGGCUGUUGAUGACAGAUAUUCAUCUUUCUUUAAGAAAGAUGAAUAUCUGUCAUCAACAGAUGACAGAUAUUCAUCUUUCUUUAAGAAAGAUGAAUAUCUGUCAUCAACAGCCCACCAACUACAUA